UUGUCACUAGAUGGCAUUCUUGUACAGGAACGUUAUUAAAUAAGGCUAACCCUGAAGUAAUGCCAUAAGGCAGUUCCGGGGUUGGAGCUUGUAAGGUUAAAAGGACGGAUAAAGGAGGUACUUUUAGUGCCAUCUACCAACUCCCAUAUAACCCAGUAACACAUUAAUGGAUAUGCGUAAUAACAUUUUCCCCUCCUUGCGAAAAAAAGUGGUGGUAUUGACAAAAUCCGCAAUCACUUAGUUCCUAACCCAAUAUUAAUUAUCUUAAGAGUUCAGUGUCUCGAUAACUAAUACGCGAUCAUGGAAUAAAUAUAUCUGCUUGCCGAUUAAUUUCCUUUGCAUUCUUGGCAGUAGAGAGCGAAGAAAAUAAUGAGAAAAAAUCGUGAGAAGGCUUCCUUCUACUCUCGUGAUGGCUUCAGUCCACUGACCGAGACUCGGAUGCCAUGCUAUAAAGCCGAAGAAAAAGUCGCGAUCGUAAACUCGGCUUGCUUCCGCACCUCGCGAUAGUUCCAUGGCGAUCGACGUUGCUUUUCGUGGAAGAUCGCGCGAAGCGUUAGAAACUGCAAGGAUUCGUUGAAUUUCCACCAGUGAAACUCGUCCGAGUUUCGAAUUAGGAUUUGCCCCUGCCAUCGCGACGAUUCGCUCUCGAUAAUAUUCAUCUUUCAUUGUUAAGACCCUACGAAUGUCUAUAUGCAUUCGUCAGAAUCCAUUCUCUUGACCUAUGAACACAUGUAUACAUGAUAGACGCUUGUAAAAAUUCCGUUGCUGUGCCUACUAUUUAUGGAUGCUUACGUGCUCAUGAUAUGGAAAAAUAUAUAAAAUAUCGAAAUUAAAGUGGUCAUUAUAAUAUUUAA